UCGUAGUUGAUUUCUGGACUCGCCGAGAGGCGGCCUUUGGCCGACCACUCCGCAAGUUCAUCCUCGCCCUUCGGGGCGUCAUUUACUGUGAAAAAAUUAGAGUGUUUAAAGCAGGCUUUAGGCUUGAAUACAUUAGCAUGGAAUAAUGAGAUAGGACCAAGUCGUAUUUUGUUGGUUGCGCGAUUCGGUAAUGAUUAAUAGGGACAGUUGGGGGUAUUCAUAUUUAAUUGUCAGAGGUGAAAUUCUUAGAUUUAUUAAAGAUGAACUACUGCGAAAGCAUUUACCAAGGAUGUUUUCAUUAAUCAAGAACGAAAGUCAGGGGAUCGAAGAGGAUUAGAUACCCUCGUAGUCUUGACCAUAAACUAUGCCGACUCAGGAUUGGCACCCUUUUUUAACAGGGUGUCAGCACUGUAUGAAAAAUCAAAGUCUUUGGGUUCCGGGGGGAGUAUGGUCGCAAGGCUGAAACUUAAAGGAAUUGACGGAAGGGCACCACCAGGAGUGGAGCCUGCGGCUUAAUUUGACUCAACACGGGGAAACUUACCAGGUCCAGACAUGGUGAGGAUUGACAGAUUGAAAGGUCUUUCUUGAUUCUAUGGGUGGUGGUGCA
rnacentral:rRNA from 1 species